GAGAAGGGCCGAAAUAACCUAAAAGCACCAGAUCCCAUGUGAACUUGGAAGCCAAGCAGGGUCAGCCCUAGUUAGUAUUUGGAUUGGAGACAACCAAUGAAUCCCAGAUGCUGUAGACU
rnacentral:rRNA from 1 species